GAUGAAGAACGCAGCGAAAUGCGAUACGUAAUGUGAAUUGCAGAAUUCAGUGAAUCAUCGAAUCUUUGAACGCAUAUUGCGCUCUCUGGUAUUCCGGAGAGCAUGCUUGUUUGAGUAUCAGUAAACACCUCAACUUCCAUAUCUUUUUUUGAAAUGGGAGUUGGACUUGAGUGAUCCCAACGCUUUUCCUCACCGAAAAGUGGCGGGUUACUUGAAAUGCAGGUGCAGCUGGACUUUUCUCUGAGCUAUAAGCAUAUCUAUUUAGUCUGCCUAAAAAACAGAUUAUUACCUUUGCUGCAGCUAACAUAAAGGAGAUUAGUUCUUGUGCUGACUGAUGCAGGAUUCACAAAGACGGCUUCGGCCGACUUUGUAAACUCGAUCUCAAUCAAGUAAGACUACCCGCUGAACUUAAGCAUAUCAAUAAGCGGAGGA
rnacentral:misc_RNA from 1 species